UUAUUUUGUUUGAAUAUAGGGGAACCUUCCUCUAAGGCUAAAUAUGGUGUAUAAGCGAUAGUGAAAAGUACCGUGAGGGAAAACCUAUAAAAGAGUAGUUUUAUAAGCAGCUCACGUUUAGUUUAAAAUAAACUAGAGCGUACCUUUUGCAUAAUGGGUCAGCAAGUUAAUAUUAGAUGCGAGCAUUUUUUGCUUAGAAAAUUCGGUUAUGAACAAAUGAGUAAGUAUCUAAAAUUAGACCCGAAACCUAGUGAUUUUACCAUGAUCAGGAUUAUAAAAGUCCGAACGGGUUAUCGUUGCAUAGAUAUCCGAAGAAUCAUGGUAGGUUGGUGAAAGACAAAACUGACUAGGAUAGCUGGUUUUCCGCGAAACCUAUUUGAGUAGGUAGUUUAAACAAUAUCUUAGCAGGUACAUAAUCGGUUCUCUGACAAAAUAGCUUUUAAAGCUAUUUUGUGCACAUCGGGGGGCUUGUGAGAGCAAUACCGGUGAGUAGUCGUAAUCGGAAGGGCAAAGAUUAUAGUUACAUAUGUGUGGUAAUGUAUAUAUGUAUAUAUGUAUGUAUCUAUAUUAUUUUGAACAAUCAGACAUAGUACGCUAAGGUUGUAUGUCUAAAGGGAAACAGCCCAUAACAAGAGAUAAUAAGGUUCCAAAAUUAUUAUUAAGUGAAUUGAAGGAAGUUAUUAUUCAACACGGCCAGGAGAUAGGCUUAGAAGCGGCCAUUUUUUGAAGAUCUCGUAACAGAGCACUGGUUAAACAAUAAAGUUUAAUGGCGCCGAAAAUUCUACGGAUCUAAAUAAUAUACCGACACCUUGUUCAUACAUACAUAAAUAGAAUUUUAGUUUUUUCUUUUUCAUCGUAUGCAUGAGGUAGCGGGACGCUGAGGAAAUUUAGGAAGUUUUCUUUUAAAGGAAAAAUAUUUAAAUAACUCAAGUGACAAUGCUGGCAUGAGUAACGAAAAAGGAUAAUAAUAAAAUGUACAUAUUUUAUUAACCUCGCCUAAAGCUUAUGUUUAGUUAAAAGUAACGGUCUCUAAGUUUAUAACCCUAAAGGGCUGAACAAUGAUAUACAUCUAGUGUACAUGUAAAACCUUUAUUAACUAUAUUUCACGAAAAGAAUGUGUGGUUUUUGUUUUACUAGAAGCUGAACAGAUGAUUUAACGUUUAACAUAAACAAUACCUUUUAGUAAGUAUAGUUAAAAGUGAGAAGCGUUCUGGAAAAAAGUGUAUAUUUAUAACACCGUGACUAAAAACUUUGAAGGUAAGCUAGUGUAGAAUACGAAGGCGUAGAGUUACCAAUCAUUAAGGAACUCGGCAAAUUGACUUGCGUAACUUCGGGAUAAGCAGAGCCAUUCCUCUCGAUUGAUAUCGAGUAAAGAAGAGGAGGCAUAGAAUAGUGUUGUACGACUGUUUAAUUAAAACAAAGCACUUUGCAUAAGAUGAAAAUCAAAGUAUUGAGUGUGAUAUCUGCCCUCUAUCGGCUGGUUAACGGUAUUUGCUUAACCGACUAAAGUAGGUUAGGCUUUGAAGGAACCCCCGAUCAAUGGCGGUCUUAACUAUAAGGAUCCUAAGGUAGCGAAAUACCUUGGCCGUUAAAUGCGGUCCUGCAUGAAUGAUGUCACGAUACAACAGCUGUCUCAAUGAUUGACUCAGUGAAAUUAUAAUAACUGUGCAGAUACAGUUUACCUCUAGUUAGACGAAAUGGCUAAAUCUUGCUUUACUGUUUGACUCACAUGUCUAUCAGUCGCGUAAGCGGGGCAUAUGAUCACAAAACACGGAAAGGAAAGGUUUUGGAUUUUUGAAAAAGCUACGCUAGGGAUAAAAACAGGCUAAUUGCGCAAGAGAGUACAAAUUGGGUGCGCAGUUUGGCACCUCGAUGUCGGCUUGGCUCAUCCACAUGAAUGUAAGAAUCAUGAAGGGUACGGCUGUUCGUCGAUUAAAGAGCUACACGAGCUGGGUUAAAUACGUCGUGAGACAGUAUGGUUUCUAUCUUCUAGAGGAAAUAUAGUAGAAUAAGGAUAGCCCCUUCGUACGAAAGGAGUUGGGUAUGUUAACCUCUGGAUUACCUGUUGUU
rnacentral:rRNA from 1 species